UACCUCUGAAAAAAUUUAAUUAUCUUUUUUACAUUUGAUUUGCUUAAAAAUGGAACUUUUCUUGCACCUCUUCUAGUUAGAUCAGCUUCCCGAGUCGGCAUUAAGGCAUUACAGACCUUAUUUUUGGAGCAUUCCAUUAUUUCAUAUUUUCACUUUCCGUACAACGAUAUAAAAAAUUUUACUUGUUAUGUAGUACAGUUAAUUUCAACGAGGCAAUAAAUCGGCUCUUAAUUUCAACGAGGCAAUAAAUCGGCUCUUAAUUUCAGAAAAUUUCAUUGCUAUCUUUACUAUUCUUCUGUGCAAGCUAAUAAAUAACUAAAUUUGUCCCUAUUAAUUUCUCCAGCUCGUACGUAGCACGUGCACUUAAAAUCAUAAUUUUUUGUCGCAAUGUAAAGACUUACAGUAUAACGAUUGUUUAGUUAAAGUACUUUUUGGUUGCAUUAGUUUACAGUUCAGUUCAGUACUGACGAAUAUAUGCAAAUCUGUGCUAUAAUAUAUGGAAAUAAAGGUGAUAUCUCUAGUAUUUUUUCCAACACUAUAUGGGAAAUAUUUUGAAAAUACACAGUAAAAUUUUUUGAGUUACACGGGAUCUCCGACGGCGCUAAAAAAGAUCCUCCAUUGCUGCAGUGAUACCGGCUUUUCACAGGUCGAGGAAACUCCGCAAUUCAUGUACAUUUUUAGGAGUGGGACAAUCUUACUGUCUAUCUUUUCAUUAGGUGUGCAAAUGCCCUCUGUUGUCAUUUUGUGUUCUAAGUAGCUUACUUCCUUUUUGAAAAGGGAACACUUCCUUGGGCUCAGCUUUAGACCAACGCUAGCUACCCGUUGGAAAACCUCUUCCAAGUUUUUCAUCGAAGCUUUUACCCAACACGAUGAUAUCGUCGAGGUAUACCAAGUAGGUUUCAGUGUAAUCCUUUUAAGUAUCUCAAAGGUAGCGUUACAUAACACGGGUCAACAAAAAAAUAAUUGUUGUUUGUCCUAAACUUUAUACUAUGAUUUUUCGAUUAUUUAGACACAAAAAUUAAAAGAAAAUACUUUUUUUUUGGUAUAAAGUUUGCUUUUGCGAUAGUUAUAAUAAUAAUACACUUUAUUCAAUUUUUUAAAAAUUUAAUUAGUUUUAAUGCAUUCAAAAAUAUUGCGAGAUUGGAGUGGAGUUUUUAUAUUCAGAGAGUGCCUCCAGAUGGCACUCAAGUGAUAAAUAACGAUCAGGUGUUUCGUACACAUCCAGAAAACGUUAAAAUUUCAUCGAGAAAGUGUAAAUACGAUGCUGAUGCAUUUUGUUAUAUAUGUGGUGAAUUUAUGAAGCAUAUUUUGACUGUACUGUUCGAAAUCAAGAUAAAUCAUGGACUCCACAUGUUGCUUGUGGUUAUUGUAAAAGAUGUUUGGAAGUUUAGGCUGGUAUCGAGGUGAAAAAAGGUCUAUGAAGUUUGCGACACCAAGAAUUUGGCGUGAACAAAGUAACCAUGUCCAUGAUUGCUACUUUUGUAUUACUAACCCGAGUAAACGACGUAGAGGUAAAAAUGCAAAACCUGUCGAAUAUCCUGACCUUGCAUCUUCUUCUGCUCCAAUUCCACAUGACCUGACUCGACCAGUGCCUGAGCCACCAAAGAAUCUAUCUCAAAAAAGUAACUCAUCUCUGAGUUCAUAUAAAAGUAAUUCCGAUAAAGAGUUUUUACCUACCCUAGAACAACCAAAAUACCAUAUUAUUACUACAGAAGAUUAUGAUGACCUAGAGAGAGAAUAAAUUUACCAAAAAAUAAAGCAGAGCUCUCUGUUAAAACAGUGGAAUUUGCUUGAUGAUGUUAAUAUAACAGAUCAGCGAACUAGGCAUGAGACAUUUUCAACGUUUUUCACAAAAGAAGAUGGACUUUGUUUUUGCAAUGACAUCAAAGGUAUGUUUGAACAUUUACCUAUGUAGUUCUAUCUUAAAUUAAAUAUUAAAACCACAGAUUUUGAGAAAAUUCGUUUAGUUAGUUUCCUGACCACAAAAGCAAACUUUUGAAGGUCAUAUUUUUUUUCCGUGUAUUUGUGACCUAAAGUAAAGAAAUUUUACACUUUAAAGUCGAGGUCAAAUUUCGUGUUGACCCGUGUAAUCCAAAGAGAAUCACGGUAAAUUGCCAUAGACCAUCUCCAACGCUGACAGCCGUCUUUUUUUUGCCUUCUUUGUUUACCUUCACUUGUCAAUAACCACUUUUCAAAUCAAGUGUUGAGAAUUAUUUUGUGCCUGAUAAUGAGUCCAGAGUGUCAUCGAUUCUAGGGAGCGGAUAACUGUCAUUCUUCGUUAUAUCAUUCACCCUUCUAUAGCCCCCACAAGACCUCAUGUUCCCAUCUUUUUUCUUCACAAGUACCUCAGGUGAACUCCAUGGACUCGCUGAUAGUUCGAUUAUACCGCUUUCGCUCAUUUCACGUGUGGUCUGGCUUAUAACUUCACGUUUUGCUAGUGGAACGUUUCGAGGAGCUUGGCGGAUGGGUCUUGCACCUGUGGCAAUAAAAUGUUUCCCAACUUUGGUUCUUCCUGGUUUGGAAUCGUCUUUUGACAAAUAUGGAUGAAUAUAUGAGAAGGAGUUGUUAAGCCGUAUUUUGAUGGUUUGCAUCUAGUUCCUCGGUUCAUUCGAAUUUCGCUCGAUAUUUCGUUUUCGUCCAUGGAAUCUAUGUCUCAUUAUCUCCAUAUAUCUCUCUGUAAUUAUCAAUCAUCUAAAGUUGUACUUAUUAACGUAACUGAACAUAAGAGGCACUUCCAUAUUUGUAGAGGUCAUAAUCCUGUUUUCCAUGUCAAUUUUGAUUCCUCGAUUCGACGGUAUCUGCCACUAUAAAAUUAUGUAACACUGCUGCUUUUCAAAUUACGAACUCAUACGUUGAGCUUCCGAAAAUUUGGGUAUCUUCUCCAGUUGCAGUACGCAACAUGGUCUUACUUCUUUAUUAACCACAUCAGAUCGAUUUAUGGAAUGUGAUGCGCCCGUAUCCACAGUCAGUAUGCACUUAUCGCUGUUUACAAAUCCACUAACGGUAACUUUACUCGUAUUGCCGCUUAUUUGUGAAAUGUAGAUUACAUGGCCUUUGCCUGCGCGAGCCAGCCCGAGCCCCUUUGGCUGGCUCGCUUUAGUUUAACGAUUGGUUGGAUUUGACAUUUACUUCAUCUUCCUCAGCUUUGCGUUUACGUCGAACUGAAUUAUUGGACUGGUUAGUUACAUGCAAUAUGACCACUUUUUCCGCAAUUGAAGCAUUUCUUCAGACCAUAGCUUUACUUACGCCUCUCCGUAAAUUUUUCCAGACUGUCUGCAAAUUUUUUUAUCAUCUUUUUCAAGUAAUUGGGUGCGCCCAGGUGUGAUCUUCUAUUUAUACUUGAUGAACUUUAAAUGUUCGAUUGCUAAACAGUGUUCAGUUUCCUGUGUUAGAGCAUAUGAAACGGUUUCGCAUUUAUGUGCGUAAGCUAAGUGUGCUAACCUCUCAGUCUCUGUAGAAAACUCCUGCAGAGAUUCAUUGACUUUGCUUUCAUUGAAUCUGCUCCAUGUGUUCACUACCAUAUCGUCUUUAUAAUGCAUCUAUUUGUUUUUUCCGUUUUUAAUCCAUUUGUCGCCGAACCACGUUGGUCCAGCUCCCUUUUUAAUUAUGGAAUAUUCAAAUCGCAAAACAUGUUCAUUUUCAAAUAAUUAUCUCCUUGGGAAUUUAUUUGACAAUAUCACUUCUUACACUAAUUGUAACGGAUUUCUCGAUAAAUCGUCUACAUUGUAACUCACUCUUGAGUUCGAUUACUGGAUUGUUAAAUAGCCAAUUGUUCUCCUUAUCACGUCGGUUAUGUGGUAUUGAUGUAAAAGUUACCUCGUCCAGGAAAUAGUACAAUGAAAAAAUUAAGUAAGCUUCUCACAAAUUACUGUUUUUUGGUUGACAAGUGUUAUAGAAACGUAAUUGAAUAAUCCCUGUCACACUUGAUCUCAUUUUAGGCAUUUGGAUGCAUUUUUUACUUGCAUGUUUUUUUUUGUAAAUUGAACAAUCAUAUAUUUCGUUUGUUGUUUAAUUCAGAGUUAAAUGGGGGAAUAUGUAGAUAUAAAAACCAAUAUUAAUCGUUUAAUUGAUUCCGCCGAAGUGGAUAUUAGAUACGCAUUGUAGGAGUUCUAGGUUCAACAAGUAAUCAAAUGUCCAAAUGAAAUAGGAUUCUUGAUGGUGUUCUGACAAGAGUUCGAUCAUACCAUGGGAUUUUUCAUACAUAAUAUUUUUAUACUCUCGCAACCUGUUGCUACAGAGUAUAAUAGUUUUGUUCACCUAACGGUUGUUUGUAUCACCUAAGUUAAGUUAGGUUAUGUAUAUAUAAAUGAUCAGGAUGAAGAGACGAGUUGAAAUCCGGGUGACUGUCUGUCCGUCCGUCCGUGCAAGGUCUAACUUGAGUAAAAAUUGAGGUAUCUUUAUGAAACUUGGUAGACAUGUUUCUUGGUACCGUGAGACGGUUGGCAUUGCAGAUGGGCGUAAUCGAACCACUGCCACGCCCACAAAACGCCAUUAAUCAAAAACAAAUAAAUUGCCAUAACUAAGCUCCGCAAUAAGAUACAAUAGUGUUAUUUGGUACACAGGAUCACAUUAGGGAGGGGCAUCUGCAGUUAAAAUUUGCGUGGGCGUGGUCUCGCCCCUAAUAAGCUUAAUGUGCAUAUCUACUAAACCACUAAAGCUAUAAUAACCAAAUUCACUAGGAGCAAAUGUUUUAGUACGAAAAGUACUAUGUUAUAGUACGAAAAUGGGCGAAAUCGGACUACAACCACGCCUAUUUCCCAUAUAACACCAUUUUCAAUUCCAUCUGAUCGAUGAUUAUAUCGGGGUAAAACUUUGCGUGAAUAAUACGUUUAAAGUAUGCCACCUUGUGACCAAAAAUUGUCUAAAUCGACUCAAAACUGUUCAAGCCCCUAAGUACUAAAUAUGUGGACCCCAGUGCCUAUAGUUGACCUUCUACCGAAAAUAUCAGUCAAUCCACAAAGAAAUCUCAAACGAGUAUACCAUUUGACUUUGCGAGAGUAUAAAAUGUUCGGUUACAUCCGAACUUAGCCCUUCCUUACUUGUUUUAUUUAACACUUAUCGAGAGUUGUCAGUAUGACGGCGUAGGGCAAUUGAAACAUCAUCAAAUAUUUGUAUGAUAUACAGAUAGACGGGAAUUGAAAAACGCCGCAACGAACAAAUGCAACGACACAGUUACGAACGACAAUAAUUCCCAAAUUAUCUAGUAAAUAGACGUUAAUCGAAAUAGGUAGUCUAAAUGUCUCUAAAUAGCGUUUGUGUAUACGAAGGAACUGCGUAAAGCUUACUAAACGAAGUUCAACAAAUAAAUUCACAAAAUUGUAUCUAAAUGGAUUGGUGUAUGGUAGUAUAGAUAUGUUAUGAACAAAAAAUUAUAAAGUUUUACUAUUAAUUUUUUACUUUCUCCAAGGGUACAUCAAUUCACUAAAGUCGAAAUGUUUACAGUAUGUUCGGAAAAGCAGUCAGAAACAGUAUUGGAAAGUUUUAGGGAUAUUGAAAUGCUUUUAUAUAAGCAGUUAAAUUUAAAAUUCCGCGUUCUUGAUAUGCCACCAAACGAACUGGGAGCUUCAGCAUUCCAAAAAUACGAUAUUGAGGCGUGGUUGGCCGGGCGGCAAAUGUGGGGAGAAAUUUCAAGCUGUAGUAACUGUACAGACUAUCAAGCUAAACGUCUUAAUAUAAAGUAUAAGACGAAAGACGGGAUAUUGAAAUAUACGCACACUGUAAAUGGAACAGCGGCUGCGAUACCAAGACUGCUUAUUGCUCUGAUUGAGUCAAAUAAGAUUGAAAAUGGGGUGUUAUGCAUACCUGAAGAGCUUCGAAAUAUUUUAACCAAUCCAUUAUUGGCUCGCAACAAAGUAGUUCCAUCUUUAAAACUUAUUAAGCAUUUUUAAAGAAGACGUUUUUAUAAUCAAUCAUGUUGGAAAUAAUAUCAUAAUUUCACAUAUAGGCAAACUGCUAUUGUGUAAAACUUAUGUUAAAAGUCAAUAAAUUUUGUUUACACUCCAAUUAUAA